rnacentral:rRNA from 1 species
UACGGGGGGGGCAAGCGUUGUUCGGAAUUACUGGGCGUAAAGGGCGUGUAGGCGGCCAACUAAGUCCGACGUGAAAUCCCCAGGCUUAACCUGGGAACUGCGUCGGAUACUGGAUGGCUUGAAUCCGGGAGAGGGAUGCGGAAUUCCAGGUGUAGCGGUGAAAUGCGUAGAUAUCUGGAGGAACACCGGUGGCGAAGGCGGCAUCCUGGACCGGCAUUGACGCUAAAGCGCGAAAAGCCAGGGGAGCAAACGGG